rnacentral:rRNA from 1 species
UACGGAGGGUGCAAACGUUGCUCGGAAUCAUUGGGCGUAAAGCGCACGUAGGCGGUCUCGCAAGUUGGGUGUGAAAGCCCUCGGCUUAACCGAGGAAGUGCAUUCAAAACUACGAGACUUGAAUACUGGAGAGGGUUGCGGAAUUCCCGGUGUAGAGGUGAAAUUCGUAGAUAUCGGGAGGAACACCAGUGGCGAAGGCGGUUACCUGGACAGUUACUGACGCUCAGGCACGAAAGCAUGGGGAGCAAAAGGG